rnacentral:rRNA from 1 species
AUAACAAUACAGGACUCUUUAGAGGCCCUGUAAUUGAAAUGAGUACACUUUAAAUCCUUUAAUGAGGAUCUAUUGGAGGGCAAGUCUGGUGCAGAGCGACUGACCCAUGAGUGCUGCAGCUGAAA